CACGCCGUAAACGUUGAGAACUAAGUGUUGGGGAGACCCAGUGCUGAAGCUAACGCAUUAAGUUCUCCGCCUGAGGAGUACGCACGCAAGUGUAAAACUUAAAGGAAUUGACGGGGGCCCGCACAAGCAGUGGAGCAUGUGGUUUAAUUCGAGGCUACGCGAAGAACCGGACCAGGGCUUGACAGGAAACUUAAGACCCUAGAGAUAGGGGGAGAAGAAGUGAAACAGGUGG
rnacentral:rRNA from 1 species